rnacentral:rRNA from 1 species
CCUUCGGGGAACGAUAACGGCGUCGAGCGGCGGACGGGUGAGUAAUGCCUAGGAAAUUGCCCUGAUGUGGGGGAUAACCAUUGGAAACGAUGGCUAAUACCGCAUGAUGCCUACGGGCCAAAGAGGGGGACCUUCGGGCCUCUCGCGUCAGGAUAUGCCUAGGUGGGAUUAGCUAGUUGGUGAGGUAAGGGCUCACCAAGGCAACGAUCCCUAGCUGGUCUGAGAGGAUGAUCAGCCACACUGGAACUGAGACACGGUCCAGACUCCUACGGGAGGCAGCAGUGGGGAAUAUUGCACAAUGGGCGCAAGCCUGAUGCAGCCAUGCCGCGUGUGUGAAGAAGGCCUUCGGGUUGUAAAGUACUUUCAGUCGUGAGGAAGGUGGUGUAGUUAAUAGCUGCAUUAUUUGACGUUAGCGACAGAAGAAGCACCGGCUAACUCCGUGCCAGCAGCCGCGGUAAUACGGAGGGUGCGAGCGUUAAUCGGAAUUACUGGGCGUAAAGCGCAUGCAGGUGGUUUGUUAAGUCAGAUGUGAAAGCCCGGGGCUCAACCUCGGAAUAGCAUUUGAAACUGGCAGACUAGAGUACUGUAGAGGGGGGUAGAAUUUCAGGUGUAGCGGUGAAAUGCGUAGAGAUCUGAAGGAAUACCGGUGGCGAAGGCGGCCCCCUGGACAGAUACUGACACUCAGAUGCGAAAGCGUGGGGAGCAAACAGGAUUAGAUACCCUGGUAGUCCACGCCGUAAACGAUGUCUACUUGGAGGUUGUGGCCUUGAGCCGUGGCUUUCGGAGCUAACGCGUUAAGUAGACCGCCUGGGGAGUACGGUCGCAAGAUUAAAACUCAAAUGAAUUGACGGGGGCCCGCACAAGCGGUGGAGCAUGUGGUUUAAUUCGAUGCAACGCGAAGAACCUUACCUACUCUUGACAUCCAGAGAACUUUCCAGAGAUGGAUUGGUGCCUUCGGGAACUCUGAGACAGGUGCUGCAUGGCUGUCGUCAGCUCGUGUUGUGAAAUGUUGGGUUAAGUCCCGCAACGAGCGCAACCCUUAUCCUUGUUUGCCAGCGAGUAAUGUCGGGAACUCCAGGGAGACUGCCGGUGAUAAACCGGAGGAAGGUGGGGACGACGUCAAGUCAUCAUGGCCCUUACGAGUAGGGCUACACACGUGCUACAAUGGCGCAUACAGAGGGCGGCCAACUUGCGAAAGUGAGCGAAUCCCAAAAAGUGCGUCGUAGUCCGGAUUGGAGUCUGCAACUCGACUCCAUGAAGUCGGAAUCGCUAGUAAUCGUGGAUCAGAAUGCCACGGUGAAUACGUUCCCGGGCCUUGUACACACCGCCCGUCACACCAUGGGAGUGGGCUGCAAAAGAAGUAGGUAGUUU